GCAGUGGUGGUUCAGUGGUAGAAUUCUUGCCUUCUAUGCAGGAGACCAGGGUUCGAUUCCCAGCCAAUGCA
rnacentral:tRNA from 1 species